CUUCUCUCCUGGAAGAUGUUAGUGCAGGUGGAUCAGGCUGUUUGCACAGCCUCCUUCUUGUUUUCCCUUUCUCCUUUUGCUUCACAGGCUUUUCUUCGCCCAGUGGUGGGGCAGCCAGGCCUGCGCCGAGGGAAACACUUGGGCUGCUGAUCUCCUGGCUGCUGGUGGAGCCCAUGGGAAAUUUGCUCAGUCAGCAGGCUGGUACCUCACCAUUCCCAGCUGUGCCUGCGUUCCACAGCCCUUGGCCCCCGCAACGACUCCAGGCUCCCCUUGGCUUCCUUUUAUACUGAUUGCAAGUCUUAGAGACUGGAGGUGUUACAUCAGGCUGCUGAGCUGUUUGUUUUCUAGGAGAGGCUGGGGCCUGUGAUGUGGAGAGCCUGGGACUGAGGUGGAGGCAACAGCAGAAUAAUGUAAAGAACAACUGUGAGCUUUGGGGUCAUUCAUUCAUUAAUUCAGCAAAUACACCUGAGCACCCACCAAGUACCAGGCACUAGGCCAGGCACCAAGCUAGAAAAUUUGGGUUUGAUGCCCGAUUCCUCAACUUAAAAGUUAUAUCCAACAUCCAUCCAGCAGAAUGGCUAAAACAAAAAGGUAGACAAUCCUGAGUUCCUUUUUUUUUUGAGAUGGGAGUCUUGCUCUUUUGCCGAGGCUGGAGUGCAGUGGGGUGAUCUCGGCUCACUGCAACCUCUGCUUCCCCGGUUCAAGUGAUUCUCCUGCCUCAGCCUCCCAAGUAGCUGGGAUUACAGGCACAUGCUACCAUGCCUGGCUGAUUUUUGUGUUGUUAGUAGAGACAUGGUUUCACCAUGUUGGUCAGGCUGGUCUUGAACUCCUGACCUCGUGAUCCUCCCAUCUUGGCCUCCCAACGUGCUGGGAUUACAGGCCUGAGCCACCGCGCCCGGCCUCAAUCCCAAAUUCUAAGGAGGCAAAUAAGCAAUUGGGAUUCUCAGAUGCUGCUGAUGGGAGUGUAAAUUGGACUACCACCUUUGGAAAGCAGAAUCUCCUAAAGCUGAACAUAUGUUUCCCUUCUAAAUGCAUGAGAAGAAAUGCCUGAGAAGGUUCAUAGCUGUGUCUUUUGUAGGAGCCACCAACUGGGAACAACCCAUAGGCCCAACAGCUCCAGAACGGGCAUCCACACCACAGAAUUCAUGCUGCAACGAGAAUGAAUAAGACGAGUGCUACGCGCAACAACACUGGUGACUGUCGCAAACACCAUGUUGCAGGAAGGACAUUACGGAUAAGAGAGUAAACAUGAUUAGGAGAUUGAAGCUCAGAGACUUGUUGGAGCUCACAGCGGCACUGGGACAUUUGGACCAAGAGCUUUUCUCCCUUCCGAGUCAGUGCAUGAUGCCAGAGAACAUCCCUGGGGUUCCCAUGGUGCUGUUAUGGCUGUCCUGUUUCUUACCCUAGAUGCUUUCAGGAAAGACUAAGAUCCUUUUCCUGGAACUGGAGCAACCUCUCUCACAUGGAGGACACCUGGACAUCUCUUUCUCUCCACCUUGUCUCUGGAUCCCUUUACAUGCUGGCUCAGGAAUCCAGAGUGAGAAUUAAGAGUGCCUACCUCAUCCUCAUGGGGGAGUUGUAAAGACCAAUGAAAAUGAUCUAUAUCUAACUUAUCAAAUGAUCUGGAACUUGAAAAGAAAAGCUGAUGGUUUGCCAAAAGAAAAUGAACUCCAAACUCUUGGGGUCUGAACUGGGUUCAAGCAUCAGAUCCAGGGGAGCCCAGGGGGAUGCUGCUUAGUCAGGGGCCUCAAAUGUUCUCUGCACAAGCCAGGACUGCUGUAACCAAGUACCAUGAAGUGCAUGGCUUAAAACAACAGCAAUGCUUUCUCUCACAGUUCUAGAGGUAGAAGCAUGAAGCCAGCUAUUGACAGGAGCAUGCUCCCACUGAAGAUAGCAAGGAGGGUGUUCAGAAAGAGGAGAGAGAGGAAGCUAAAGAGAAAAGUAAAUGAAACCAGAAUGGCCUUCUCCCCAGGACCUCCAUCCUGAGCCUUGCAGCGAGAGUGAAGAAGCAUCUGAGCUGUCCUCCAGGGACAAGCAAGGAAAAGGAUCCCCCAUUUUGGGGAGAAUCACGUGUUAGGGGAAUUUCAUGGAGGGGAAAAAAAGGAUUGCAUGGGCAUUUGAAUUUUUGCUGAAGACCAA
rnacentral:lncRNA from 10 species